ensembl:lncRNA
AUGAAAUGCUGCACUGCUGUAUCAGGAACUCAACGCUUCUCAGUUUCAGUGACGCUGUGAAUAUCGGAAUGCAGCAUCCUCCAAACCUCUCCUCCAUUCUGGAGCUGUCACCUGUUACUGAUGGACAAACUGCAAAAGGCUCAUUUUCUCUGCCCUUCCUUCAACCUGUGUCACCUCUUGGGAGGUAAAGGCAAAACCACUGGAGUUGAAGAAAGGACUCCUGUAACCAAGAUAACUGCAGCAUUUUCUCCUGCUGUAAAAAAAAAGCCUCUUAUAGGAAAACGUAAGCCCAUAAAAUGCAGAAAGGUGACCUUCAGUGAUGUCAACAGCACACAGGCCAUAUCAGUGCUUAAUCCUGGUUCGGUGAAACCUCAGAGAAGAGCCUAUAAUGUCCAUAAGAAUGACAUGAGAAGCAACACCAAUGAGCCUUCUUCGGAGACAGCAAGGUUUUUUGACUUUGCUGAUGAAUGCGAGAAGGAAACUUUUUUUCAAAGACUGAAGCUGACCUACACUUUUCAGUUUCCCUCUAAACCGAUUACCUUCCCAGACCGGCCGAAGACAGAGGAUGUGUGAGGUAGAAGAAUGGUUUCUUUCUUUUUUCUUUUGUUCAGUGUGCAUUGCUGCUCUCACUUAGAUCUCGCGAACACCAUGAUGAAAUAAAGUCUGUUUUUGCAUGUCUCUAAAGCCCUGUUUUGUGAUCAGCAAACCAGGACCUACCUCAGCG